rnacentral:rRNA from 1 species
AUUGAACGCUGGCGGCAGGCCUAACACAUGCAAGUCGAACGCCCCGCAAGGGGAGUGGCAGACGGGUGAGUAACGCGUGGGAACCUUCCUAAAGGUACGGAAUAACUUCGGGAAACUGGAGCUAAUACCGUAUGUGCCCGAGAGGGGAAAGAUUUAUCGCCUUUAGAUGGGCCCGCGUUGGAUUAGCUAGUUGGUGAGGUAAUGGCUCACCAAGGCGACGAUCCAUAGCUGGUUUGAGAGAAUGACCAGCCACACUGGGACUGAGACACGGCCCAGACUCCUACGGGAGGCAGCAGUGGGGAAUCUUGGACAGUGGGCGCAAGCCUGAUCCAGCCAUGCCGCGUGAGUGAAGAAGGCCUUAGGGUUGUAAGACUCUUUCGCCGGGGAAGAUAAUGACGGUACCCGGAGAAGAAGCUCCGGCUAACUUCGUGCCAGCCGCCGCCGUAACAC